rnacentral:rRNA from 1 species
GACAGAGGUGCCGAGCGUUAGGCGGAAUCACUGGGCUUAAAGCGUGUGUAGGCGGGCCGUUAAGUAUCUUGUGAAAUCCCCCGGCUCAACCGGGGAAUGGCUGGAUAUACUGGCGGUCUUGAGCGAUCUAGGGGCAGAUGGAACAAGUGGUGGAGCGGUGAAAUGCGUAGAUAUAACUUGGAACGCCAAAGGUGAAAACAGUCUGCUGGGGAUCUGCUGACGCUGAGACACGAAAGCCAGGGGAGCGAACGGG